rnacentral:rRNA from 1 species
GACGAACGCUGGCGGCGUGCUUAACACAUGCCAGUCGAACGGUAAGGCCCUUCGGGGUACACGAGUGGCGAACGGGCGAGUAACGCGUGAGUAACCUGCCCUUCACUCUGGGAUAACAGUUGGAAACGGCUGCUAAUACCGGAUAUUCAGCUCCUGUCGCCUGGUGGGGGUUGGAAAGUUUUGGUGGUGGAGGAUGGGCUCGCGUCCUAUCAGCUUGUUGGUGGGGUGAUGGCCUACCAAGGCGUCGACGGGUAGCCGGCCUGAGAGGGCGACCGGCCACAUUGGGACUGAGAUACGGCCCAAACUCCUACGGGAGGCAGCAGUGGGGAAUAUUGCACAAUGGGCGGAAGCCUGAUGCAGCAACGCCGCGUGCGGGAUGACGGCCUUCGGGUUGUAAACCGCUUUCAGCAGGGACGAAGCGCAAGUGACGGUACCUGCAGAAGAAGCACCGGCUAACUACGUG